rnacentral:rRNA from 1 species
UGAGCAAUCUGCCCUUCUCUUCGGAAUAAGCGUUGGAAACGACGUCUAAUGCCGAAUACGACCUCCUUUCGCAUGAUCGGAGGUGGAAAGCUCCGGCGGAGAAGGAUGAGCUCGCGGCCUAUCAGCUAGUUGGUGUAGGUAAUGGCCCACCAAGGCGACGACGGGUAGCCGGCCUGAGAGGGUGACCGGCCACACUGGGACUGAGACACGGCCCAGACUCCUACGGGAGNAGCG